rnacentral:rRNA from 1 species
UACGUAGGUGGCAAGCGUUGUCCGGACUUACUGGGCGUAAAGAGCGCGCAGGCGGUCGUUCAAGUCGCGUGUGAAAGCCCCCGGCUCAACUGGGGAGGGUCACGCGAUACUGAUCGACUCGAAGGCAGGAGAGGGUAGUGGAAUUCCCGGUGUAGUGGUGAAAUGCGUAGAUAUCGGGAGGAACACCAGUGGCGAAGGCGACUACCUGGCCUGUUCUUGACGCUGAGGCGCGAAAGCUAGGGGAGCAAACGGG